AUUGAACGCUGGCGGCAGGCCUAACACAUGCAAGUCGAGCGAGCGGCGGACGGGUGAGUAAUGUAUGGGGACUGCCCGAUAGAGGGGGAUAACUCCUGGAACCGGUGGCUAAUACCGCCUACUGUCGGCGAACCCAUAUGGGAUUAGCUAGUAGGUAAGGUAAUGGCUUACCUAGGCGACUAUCCCUAGCUGGUCUGAGAGGAUGAUCAGCCACACUGGGACUGAGACACGGCCCAGACGCCUAUGGAGGCAGCAGUGGCGAAUAUUGUACAAUGGGCGUAAGCCUGAUGCAGCCAUGCCGCGUGUAUGAAGAAGGCCCUAGAGUGGUAAAGUACUUUCAGGCGGGAGUCGUUAGUGACAGAAGAAGGACCGGCUAACUCCGUACCAGCAGCCGCGGUAAUUC
rnacentral:rRNA from 1 species